rnacentral:rRNA from 1 species
AUGAAGAUGGCGACUUGCAUUCGUAAGGUGGCCUCGGAGGAGUUUGGAGUGUCCAGGGGAAGGAGAAGCGAAGAUAAGGAUACCUGGUGGUGGAAUGAUGAUGUCCAGAAGGCGCUUAAAGUGAAGAAAGAUUGCUUCAGACGCCUAUACCUGGAUAGGAGUGCAGACAACAUAGAGAAGUACAAGAUGGCGAAGAAGGCCGCAAAGCGAGCUGUUGGUGAAGUAAGGGGUCGGGCAUAUGAGGACCUCUACCAACGGUUAGGCACGAAGGAAGGUGAAAGGGACAUCUAUAAGAUGGCUAAGAUCCAGGAGAGGAAGACGAGGGAUAUUGGCCAAGUCAAAUGCAUCAAGGACGGAGCAGGCCAACUCUUGGUGAAGGACGAAGAGAUUAAGCAUAGAUGGCGGGAGUACUUCGACAAGCUGUUCAAUGGGGAGAAUGAGAGUUCUACCAUUGAACUGAAUGACUCCUUUGAUGAGACCAGCAUGCGUUUUGUGCGGCGCAUCCAGGAGUCUGAGGUGAAGGAGGCUUUAAAAAGGAUGAAAGGAGGCAAGGCGAUGGGCCCUGAUUGUAUCCCCAUUGAGGUGUGGAAAGGUCUCGGGGACAUAGCAAUAGUAUGGCUAACCAAGCUUUUCAACCUCAUUUUUCGGGCAAACAAGAUGCCAAAAGAAUGGAGACGGAGUAUAUUAGUACCAAUCUUCAAGAACAAGGGGGGUGUUCAGAGUUGUACUAAUUACCGUGGAAUUAAGCUGAUGAGCCAUACAAUGAAGCUAUGGGAGAGAGUCAUUGAGCACCGCUUAAGAAGAAUGACAAGCGUGACCAAAAAUCAGUUUGUUUUCAUGCCUGGGAGGUCGACCAUGGAAGCCAUUUUCUUGGUACGACAACUUAUGGAGAGAUAUAGGGAGCAUAAGAAGGACUUGCAUAUGGUGUUCAUUGACUUGGAGAAGGCCUAUGAUAAGAUACCGCGGAAUGUCAUGUGGUGGGCCUUGGAGAAACACAAAGUCCCAGCAAAGUACAUUACCCUCAUCAAGGACAUGUACAAUUAUGUUGUGACAAGUGUUCGAACAAGUGAUGUCGACACCGAUGACUUCCCGAUUAAGAUAGGACUGCAUCAGGGGUCAGCUUUGAGCCCUUAUCUUUUUGCUUUGGUGAUGGAUGAGGUCACAAGGGGUAUACAAGGAGAUAUCCCAUGGUGUAUGCUCUUUGCGGAUGAUGUGGUGCUAGUUGACGAUAGUCGGACGGGGGUAAAUAGGAAGUUAGAGUUAUGGAGACAAACCUUGGAAUCGAAAGGGUUUAGGCUUAGUAGAACUAAAACCGAGUACAUGAUGUGCGGUUUCAGUACUACUAGCUGCGAGGAGGAGGAGGUUAGCCUUGAUGGCCAGGUGGUACCUCGGAAGGACACCUUUCGGUAUUUGGGGUCAAUGUUGCAGGAGGAUGGGGGUAUUGAUGAAGAUGUGAACCAUCGAAUCAAAGCCGGAUGGAUGAAGUGGCGCCAAGCUUCUGGCAUUCUCUGUGACAAGAGAGUGCCACAAAAGCUAAAAGGCAAGUUCUACAGGACGGCGGUUCGACCCGCAAUGUUGUAUGGCGCGGAGUGUUGA